GCGACACGUGUCGACAUCAGAAGCCAAUCAUAGCGCGACACGUGUCAACAUUAGAAGCCAAUCACAACACGACAUGUGUCAAUGUCAGAAUGAAACUAGAAACUCUCUUUUAUAAAUAGAGAUCAUUCUCUCACAAUAUUUCCUAAUGUCAUUUGUACUAAAUCAUUCACUAGUACUCACUAAAGGAAAGCUUGAACCUAUGUACUUGUGUAAACCCUUCACAAUUAAUGAGAACUCCUCUACUCUGUGGACAUAGCCAAUCUGGGUGAACCACGUACAUCUUGUGUUUGCUUCCCUGUCCCUAUCCAUUUACAUACUUAUCCAUACUAGUGACCGGAGCAAUCUAGCGAAAGUCACAAACUUGACAUUUUCUGUUGUACCAAAGUCCUCAUCGAUUUUGUGCAUCAACAAUAUGCAUUCUAUGAAUUUUUUUUCAACGAUCCAACUAUCAAAUUUAUUUGCACACACUCCGAGAUUUCAUACGUAAAAAAUCGUAAAAAACAAACAUUCAAAGAUUAAGUAACAGAACAAAAGUUUUCGACGGUUAUAAAACGAAAAUUCACAAUUUAACGGUUAUUUUAGCUCCAAUUUUAAUAAUUUUUUACAACUACACUCCUUGACCCUAUAAGAAUGCAAUGAAUAAAUUUGAUCUUCAAUUUAAAGUAUUUACAGUAGUGAAUACCACAAAAUCUUAUUUUAUACUUAAUGGAAGUAUAACAUUAACUCUUACGUGUUUAUUUAAUCUACCAUUUUGACGUGAUACCCAUUCUACGAAACUUUUUUCAAUGAUCUAACCGUCAGAUUUGUUUGUACAUACUCCAAGAUCACAUACGUAAAAAAUCACAAAAAAAAAAACAUUCAAAAUAUUAGGUAACAAAACAAAAGUUUUGACAGUUAUAAACGAAAAAUCAAAAUUUAACAGUUAUUUUAGCUCCGAUUUUGAUGAUUUUUUACAGCUACACUCCUCGACCCUAUAAGAAUGUAUUGAAUGAAUUCGAUCUUCAAUUUAAAAUAUUUACACUAGUGGAUACCACAAAAUCUUAUUUUAUACUUGAUGGGGAAAUAUAACAUUAACUCUAAGUGUUGGUUUAAUCUACCGUUUUGAUGCGAUACGCAUUCUACAAAACGUUUUUCAACAAUCCAAUUGUCAAACUUGUUUUUACACACUCCAAGAUCGCAUACGUAAAAAAUCGCAAAAAACAAACAUUCAAAGAUUAGAUAACGGAACAAAAGUUUUCGAUAGUUAUAAACGAAAAAUCACAAUUUAACGGUUAUUUUAGCUUCAAUUUUGAUGACUUUUUGCAGUUAUAGUCCUCAAUCCUAUAAGAAUACUAUGAAUGAAUUCGAUCUUCAAUUUAAAAUAAUUACACUAGUGGAUAAAUCGUAUUUUAUACUUAAUAAAAGUAUAACAUUAACUCUUAAGUGUUUGUUAAAUCUAUCAAUUUGAUAGGAUAUGCAUUCUACGAAACUAGUUUCAACGAUCCAACUGUCAAAUAUGUUUGUAUAUACUCUGAGAUAGCAUGUGUAAAAAAUCACAAAAAAAAAAAAACAUUCAGAGAUUAUUCUGGCGACCGUCCAAAAUUUUGCUUUGUUCGUGUCCAUUAUAUCCGACAGAGCCAUGAG
rnacentral:lncRNA from 1 species